rnacentral:rRNA from 1 species
AUACGGAGGGUGCAAGCGUUAAUCGGAAUUACUGGGCGUAAAGCGUACGUAGGCGGUUCGUUAAGUUAGAUGUGAAAGCCCCGGGCUUAACCUGGGAACUGCAUUUAAAACUGGCGAACUAGAGUUGAGUAGAGGGGAGUGGAAUUUCAGGUGUAGCGGUGAAAUGCGUAGAGAUCUGAAGGAACACCAGUGGCGAAGGCGACUCCCUGGACUCAAACUGACGCUGAGGUACGAAAGCGUGGGUAGCAAACGGGAUUAGAUACCCCAGUAGUCC